GAAACUGGAAAAUAUCAUGCUAGUGAGAUAAGCCAGUUCCGAAACACCAAAGGCCAAUAUUCUGUCUGAUAUGUGGAUGCUAACCCAUAACAAGUGUCUCCCUACCUAAUCUCUUGGGAAAUUGAACACAGGUGAGAAGACUUGGACCAAUUUGCAUGGGAGUGCCAAGAGCCUGCUGAGAGGAAAGGGGUUAUCACUGUUAAGCUUCUUCCUUUUAAAGGGCCACAGUGGGAACUCAUAUUGGGCAGAAAUACUCUUCAUAGGGUGUAGGGAAGUUCAAUGUAAAGAAGUCUUGCAAAGUGCUUAACCCAAAGAGGACAUCACAAUCCUGAUAUGAGUCAAUUAUGUUCAAUGCUGGGCUCUAUUUUUGAGCUAUUCCUUGGAGCUGUUCCUUUUCUGCUGCUGUAGAGGAAAAGGGCAAUGACCUGCAGAAACAGAAAGCAUCUUUCCAGGCCUAUGAGUGAGAACUACAGCAGUCCAAUUGCAAAACCUAAAUACAAUGGAAAUAGUAGAAUCCUGGGGUGGCUGAGGCCACAUGGCAUCACUCAACUACAAAGUCAAGUGAAAUCUCAAGGGUUCCAGUGGUAUGGAGCAUGUUGAGAUACCACUUCUAAGGAAAAAGGAAACUACUGCUGACUUCACAACUGCUCUGUGGCCCUAAGGCAGGUGAAUGGCAGGAGAUAAUGAAGAACAUUGCAAGAACUCAGUUGUCAAAGCUGAAGUAUGUCACCAGUGUCCAAGGAAAUAAAAUAAUUUUUCCUUCAAAAUCUCAUGUGACUGCCUUUUCCUUGUGGAACCCAAACUUUAUCCAGAGUUCUGCUGGCAAGAGAUUCUGAGAAAUGUAGUACCCUGCCUAGACCCUGUGAUACAAGGAUACCAAAGGUAGUGGGGAAUGGAUGCCCUCUGCCAGAGACAAUAUCCAGCACGGAAUCGUUAAGGAAAACAAAAUAACAAUUAGACUAGUUCCUUGCAAAAUGGAAGAAAAUAAAUAAGGCACAUAAU